GCCACAUCUCAGACAUAUGGAGCAGCCUCUCUGGGGCAGGAGGGACCAGGGAACAGACCUCAGUGAUGGCUGCCUCACCCACAAGCAGGACGGGGUGCUCGUGCUUCUACAGCAAUACAUGGAAGAUUUUGUUUGUUUAAUUCUCCUGCGAGGCUGUUAUAUGAGCCUGGUCCUGCCUUGUCUGGAAUGUGUUCAUUGAAUCUCAAUGCACGUGGCAACCUGUGACCAGCUGUGGGACCGUGUGGGCAAGGACUGGUUUGUCUGCUGAAGAACUUUUCCUUGUUCCUUCUUUUGGCUCUUGAUGAGGUGAGAGCUGCAGCGAUGGCAUCUAUAGUCUCCUGUUUGCAAUAACAGCACUGCAGUGCAGUCUGGUGAGGAGGACCGUAAGGCUCUACGUGGCCAUCUGCACUGACACAGCAGCACCACGAUGUCGAAAUACAAACGGGAAAGACUUCACAUCUGCCUGAUGCUACUUUUUUUUUCUGGAUGAGGAGGUGAGCUCGAGCCUCUCCCUGGAAGAGAGGGCUGGCAGCAGCGCUGAGCUGGGAUGUGGAGGCUGCACAGGGGCCCAUUGGCUGAAGGUUAAGACUUCUCCAUGAAGGCACCUGAACCAGAGUCACGUUCCCCAUCUUUGCAGAACCCAUGCUGUCCACCUCUGGGAGGCAGCAAGUGGAAGAUCCUGGAUUGUGGAGGACUAAUGCUUCCAGGCAAGCAAAGCCUGCAGCAUCCUUUUGUUCUUGGUGAAUUCAUUGGGCGCUGCACUGACUCAGCCUUUUACUCAAAGGUCAAACUGACACCAACUGGUCUGCUAGAGCCACAUCAGAGAACCUAUCCAGAGUCUCUGAAGAGCUGCUAAACUAGCUGCAGCAACAAGAGAAGGAAGAAGGAAGGGCCUCUUCUUACUUCAGAGCAGGAAGGUGGGGAUGGACGUUCAGACAGAGGGAAAGGACUGACCUGUGGGCUGCUGACCAGCUGUGCCUGCUGCUGAGCAUCGUGGAUCUGCACCUAUCAUCCGAUCCUGCUCAGUAACGCGAGCCACAUCACCAUGUGUGCCCUCUGCCAUGGGAGACACGGAGCUGCUCGCCCCGUGAAGGCCAAGAGCUCUGGGAUCUCUGUAGCUGGUAGAGCCAGGACUGUGGGAAUGCAGCACCGAGCCCAGAGCUCAGCUUUUAGCUAUUUAUUUUAUUUAAAAAAAUGCUUUUGUAGUUUCGUCCGCUGCCUGUGGUCGGAUGUUUUGUUUUGUUUUCUUUUGUUUUGUUUUGUUUGCAGGCUGGACUUGGAGUUUUGCUGUUUGGGGAGAAAGGAGUUUUUGCCCAGCAGGGCAGAAUGAGCCUGUGUGGAUGCUGCUCAGUGAGAUAAAUUCUCUGCAUCCUGAAGAAUGUUGAGUGCAUUGGGAGCUACCUCUGAAAGAGCAGAGCUGUCUCCUGCAAGCACAGACCAGUUAGGUCUCCAGUUUUCUGGUGACCCUUCUGUUGCCUGCAGGCUGCAGCCAUUCUCAACACUGUAAAUACCUUCAGACAUCCACUUCAAGCAUGCUUCCCUACCAAAAGCUGUGAUGAAGGGAAGAUUUUGCUUCCGUCUCCCAGCAAUGUUUCCCUUCUGCUCUUCUUCUCAAGCCAGUGCGACAAAAGGAGAGCCAGCCCUGGUUGUUCUCCAAGAGCUGAGUGGUGAGGAUGUCCCUCUGUGAUGUGUGGGGCAAUGCAUACCCUGAUAGCAGCAAAACUGUUGUUUCAUGGGCCAUAAACAAGAUCUUAUCCAACAAUCUUGUAUGAUGUAGCUCUCCCGGUAUUCUCACGGGGACUGAAAUGCUGUGAGAACCUUCUGUGUGCUGGGUUGUGGCACUGGGUGGCACUGAUCUAUCGGGUGGCAAGCAGCCCACAGCAGGAGGGAUGGAACUGGAUGAUCUUUAAGGUCCCUUCCAACCUGAGCCAUGCAGUGACUCUAGGUCUUGUUCAGAACUGACAUGUGGUUUUGCUUCAUUUCUGAGGAUGGUUCAAAGUGCUCUCCUUCCCAGAUGGAGACUCUGACAUGCCUUUAAUUCUAAUCUUCUCCUUUCCUAAUUUUUUUUAAUCACCCUUCACGGUUAAGCAUAUAAUUAACCAGUUGGAUAAAGUAGGUUUGUGGUGUCACAGAGUCACAAAGCUGAAGCUAGAGCUUCUGAAGUCCAAAUCAACUCCUUCAUCAUCAGACCUGCCUUCCUGCAGGCACGCCAGCACUUGCAGCGUGGCCCAGAACCUCUCGCCUUUGAACUUCCCAGCUUUAGGCUGCUGACUCAGCGUCUGUGUGUGAUGGAAGCAGUGAAGGGGGAAACAGGUAAUUGCUUAGGGAGGAAAAAGCCAAAAAUGAAACCGUGCCUUGCUGCAGUUGACACAAGCUCUGCUCUUGCUCAAGUGCCUUUGCGUAAUAGAUUUUUAGGAGAGAAUGUGGUGGGCUUUGAUUCUGCUUACAGGUGUUGUCUCAGAACCGAAGAGGACAGAGCAGGUAACAGUAAGUAAGAACACUUCUACCUUGAGAAUAAACCCAGAGAACACCUCACUCCUUAGCUCACUUCAUCAGUAAUAAAACGGUCCUGUUGCACUGCAGUGAAGUAGGUCCUGCUAGAAAGUUAUUGUCAGGAAGGACUGGAAGUACUUGUAGUUCCUUCCUUCCCAUCUACCUGUUUCAGAAGGACUAAACUUGUAGGGUACUUGGAGUGAACUGCGUUGACCUGACAAAUGUGUUGCACUAACAUGGAUUGCUUUGCACUAGAGUAAGCUUGAGUGAAGACCUUACUGCACUGAGCAUGAUUUAGCCAAGUGUGAUGGAUUUGUGUUUACGUGUUCGUGUGUGUUUAUAACCACAUGCAUGGCUAUAAAGGUACAUGGGAUAUUGAGUUGAAGUAGGACAGAACUAACAAAGCCAAUAUAACCUGCAGCCUCAUUUAGAUGGCCAUGGAGAGGCAGCCUUUCUUCCUGAAGUGAUUUUUCUCAUCACAUGUCUGUGGGAAGCUGAUGCUCUCAUACACAUUCGCUAUGAAAGCCUAUUUGAUGCGUACUUUCUAUGAAUGACCCUUGAUCUGCUCAUGGUGAGCACUUAGUCACCAGGCAGGUGGUGCAAAUGAGCCCCACCAGCCUCCUGUGGCUGGAGAUGGAAGCCACAAGCUGUUCCCGUGUUCUCCACCUCCAGGCAGAUGGGAAUCCCUAAAAGGAUUUCUCUUCUCUAAUUUCAGGAGAGGACAGUCACAGUCAUGAGUCUGAAAUUCAUAGAUGUGCUGGCAUUUCCAGGCACUUACAAUAAUGCUCACUGCUAAACUCCUCUGCUGCUGAAAACCAAGUAGAACGUGUUUAGUGCUCUAAACAAACUUAUCUAGCAAAUUCAAGCAUGUCCUCCUAGAAUUAUUUUUGCAGCAGUUGUCCUGCUCUGCUUAUUUAUGCCUUGUGCUAGCAUUUGAAAUCAUUAAAGCCAUAAUUAAUUAAUCAUUAAUAUCAGUGCUGGAGACUCUGAAGUGGUGUGGAUGCUGAGGGAGAUGCCAGCAUUGCGGUGUUCUCAAAACGUAUUUGUGGCUCAACCAGUCUGAAAUGAGCCUUCUUCUCUUAUGGCCUUACAGUGUUCCUUAGGAAAACGAUGGUUUUGUGGAUGCUCAUCCCUGGAGGUGUUCAAGGCCAGGUUGGGAGGCCCUGGGCAGCCUCA